GAUGAACGCUGGCGGCGUGCCUAACACAUGCAAGUCGAGCGAUUCUCUUCGGAGAAGAGCGGCGGACGGGUGAGUAACGCGUGGGUAACCUGCCCUGUACACACGGAUAACAUACCGAAAGGUAUGCUAAUACGAGAUAAUAUGCUUUUAUCGCAUGGUAGAAGUAUCAAAGCUCUGGCGGUACAGGAUGGACCCGCGUCUGAUUAGCUAGUUGGUAAGGUAACGGCUUACCAAGGCGACGAUCAGUAGCCGACCUGAGAGGGUGAUCGGCCACAUUGGAACUGAGACACGGUCCAAACUCCUACGGGAGGCAGCAGUGGGGAAUAUUGCACAAUGGGGGAAACCCUGAUGCAGCGACGCCGCGUGAACGAUGAAGUAUUUCGGUAUGUAAAGUUCUAUCAGCAGGGAAGAUAAAUGACGGUACCUGACUAAGAAGCCCCGGCUAACUACGUG
rnacentral:rRNA from 1 species